rnacentral:rRNA from 1 species
UGCCGUGGGUGUAGGAGAAUUGAGAGGAGUUGCCCCUAGUACGAGAGGACCGGGGUGAAGGCACCACUGGUGGACCUGUUGUUGCGCCAGCAGCAUAGCAGGGUAGCUAAGUGCCGACGGGAUAACCGCUGAAAGCAUCUAAGCGGGAAGCCCCCCUCGAAACCAGUUCUCCCUUGAGAGCCGUGGAAGACCACCACGUUGAUAGGCCGGGUGUGGAAGUGCAGCAAUGCAUGUAGCUUACCGGUACUAAUAGCUCGAUUGGCUUGAUUAC